rnacentral:misc_RNA from 1 species
GAUGAAGAACGUAGCGAAAUGCGAUAAGUAAUGCGAAUUGCAGAAUUCCGUGAGUCAUCGAAUCUUUGAACGCACAUUGCGCCCUCUGGUAUUCCGGAGGGCAUGCCUGUCUGAGCGUCAUUGUCAACCCUCAAGCUCAGCUUGCUGUUGGGUCCCCGUCGUUGCUUUAACGGCGGACCCGAAAGGUAAUGGCAGAGUCCGUGAGACCCUAGACGCAGCGAGCUUCUAGCACGCGUCUGGACGUUUUUCGGGCUCGGUCUUAACUAGAUGAUAACUUCCGAUUGACCUCAGAUCAGGUAGGGAUACCCGCUGAACUUAAGCAUAUAAUAAGCGGAGGA